rnacentral:rRNA from 1 species
UACAGAGGGUGCAAGCGUUAAUCGGAAUUACUGGGCGUAAAGGGUGCGUAGGUGGUUUGUUAAGUCAGGUGUGACAUCCCUGGGCUCAACCUGGGAACUGCAUUUGAUACUGGCAGACUCGAGUCUGGUAGAGGGUAGUGGACUUCCGCAUGUAGCGGUGAAAUGCGUAGAGAUGUGGAGGAACACCGAUGGCGAAGGCAGCCCCCUGGGCUAACACUGACGCUCAUGCACGAAAGCGUGGGGAGCAAACAGG